GAGGAAGUGAGAGAGAAUGGAAUCUAGAGAGAAGAAGGAGAAAAUCAACCAAUUUUAAGGCCCCAAAUCCCAAAGCUCAUGAAGGAUAAUUUGUAGUACAAGUUGUGGUCGUCAUUUUAAGCCAAAGAUCGGACUUGGGGUGUUGAUUUCGUGGUGACUACCCAAAAAGAUUGAAGUUGAAGGGAUUGAAAGACGCUCAAAAGCGGGAGGUUAAGGUACGGAGUUACAGGACGACGCUUCUGAUCAUUAGGAUUUACUCGUACCAGCUUAUCGGUGAGCCCCAUCUCAUUCGGGGUUUAAACAUUGUAUUUCUCUGUUUAGUUUUGCAUGUAAAGGUAUGCUGGGGGCCUUGUCCCAGUAAUUAUGUUUUCCAGUCAGACUCAUGAUAGAGGUUUCAUAGACUAGACCAGUCAGUUAUGUUAUGUCAGACAUUUGGAGUCGUAUAGCCAUUUUGGCUCACUCAUGUUUUAAACAAGUACUUUAUUAAGUAUUAUGAAUUAUUACGUUUUACAAA